GGGUGCUCGAGUGGCGAACGGGUGAGUAUUACGUGAGUAACCUGCCCUCAACUGUGGGAUAAGCCUGGGAAACUGGGUCUAAUACUGCAUAUUCUUCUUUCACCGCAUGGUGGGGGUUGGAAAGUUUUUUCGGUUGGGGAUGGGCUCGCGGCCUAUCAGCUUGUUGGUGGGGUGAUGGCCUACCAAGGCGGUGACGGGUAGCCGGCCUGAGAGGGUGGUCGGCCACAUUGGGACUGAGAUACGGCCCAGACUCCUACGGGAGGCAGCAGUGGGGGAUAUUGCACAAUGGGCGCAAGCCUGAUGCAGCGACGCCGCGUGAGGGAUGAAGGCUUUCGGGUUGUAAACCUCUUUCGGUACAGAACAAGGCACGUUUUUUGCGUGUGGAGGGUAUGUGCAGAAGAAGCGCCGGCUAACUACGUGCCAGCAGCCGCGGUAAUACGUAGGGCGCGAGCGUUGUCCGGAAUUAUUGGGCGUAAAGGGCUCGUAGGCGGCUUGUUGCGCCUGCUGUGAAAACGCGGGGCUUAACUCCGCGCGUGCAGUGGGUACGGGCAGGCUUGAGUGUGGUAGGGGUGACUGGAAUUCCAGGUGUAGCGGUGGAAUGCGCAGAUAUCUGGAGGAACACCGAUGGCGAAGGCAGGUCACUGGGCCAUUACUGACGCUGAGGAGCGAAAGCGUGGGUAGCGAACAGGAUUAGAUACCCUGGUAGUCCACGCUGUAAACGUUGGGAACUAGGUGUGGGGCCCUUUUCCGGGGUUCUGCGCCGUAGCUAACGCAUUAAGUUCCCCGCCUGGGGAGUACGGCCGCAAGGCUAAAACUCAAAGGAAUUGACGGGGGCCCGCACAAGCGGCGGAGCAUGCGGAUUAAUUCGAUGCAACGCGAAGAACCUUACCAAGGCUUGACAUACACCGGGAGCAUGCAGAGAUGUGUGUGCCUUUUUGGCUGGUGUACAGGUGGUGCAUGGUUGUCGUCAGCUCGUGUCGUGAGAUGUUGGGUUAAGUCCCGCAACGAGCGCAACCCUUGUCUCGUGUUGCCAGCGCGUUAUGGUGGGGACUCACGAGAGACUGCCGGGGUUAACUCGGAGGAAGGUGGGGAUGACGUCAAAUCAUCAUGCCCCUUAUGUCUUGGGCUUCACGCAUGCUACAAUGGCCGGUACAGUGGGUUGCGAUACUGUGAGGUGGAGCGAAUCUCUGAAAGCCGGUCUCAGUUCGGAUC
rnacentral:rRNA from 1 species